UUCCGGUUGAUCCCGCCGGACCCGACUGCUAUUUGGGUGAGAAUAAGCCAUGCGAGUUGAAUGGAAUACCUAAAUUUUCCAUAUCAAACUGCUCAGUAACACAUGAUCAACUUGCCCUAUAGAGAAAAAUAACCUCGGGAAACUGAGGAUAAUGUUUCAUAGUUGAAAAGGCUUGGAAAAGUUUUUCAAUCAAAGGGAUAAAAAAAAUGGUUUUUAUUUGCUGUAGGAUAGGAUCGUGCUCGAUUAUGGUUGUUGGUGAGGUAAUGGCUCACCAAGCCGAUAAUCCAUAGGGGCCGUGAGAGCGGGAGCCCCGAGAUGGGUACUGAGACAGCGACCCAGGUCUUACGAGACGCAGCAGGCGCGAAACCUCCGCAAUACACGAAAGUGUGACGGGGUUACCCAAAGUGUUCAAUUUUGAACUGUGGUAGGUGAGUAAUGUCCCCUACUAGAAAGGAGAGGGCAAGGCUGGUGCCAGCCGCCGCGGUAAAACCAGCUCUUCAAGUGGUCGGGAUAAUUAUUGGGCUUAAAGUGUCCGUAGCCGGUUUAGUAAGUUCCUGGUAAAAUCGGGUAGCUUAACUAUCUGUAUGCUAGGAAUACUGCUAUACUAGAGGGCGGGAGAGGUCUGAGGUACUACAGGGGUAGGGGUGAAAUCUUAUAAUCCUUGUAGGACCACCAGUGGCGAAGGCGUCAGACUGGAACGUGCCUGACGGUGAGGGACGAAAGCCAGGGGAGCGAACCGGAUUAGAUACCCGGGUAGUCCUGGCCGUAAACGAUGCAUACUAGGUGAUGGUAUGGCCAUGAGCCGUGUCAGUGCCGUAGGGAAACCGUUAAGUGUGCCGCCUGGGAAGUACGGUCGCAAGGCUAAAACUUAAAGGAAUUGGCGGGGGAGCACCACAAGGGGUGAAGCCUGCGGUUCAAUUGGAUUCAACGCCGGG
rnacentral:rRNA from 1 species